rnacentral:rRNA from 1 species
CCCGGGCCUUGUGCACACCGCCCGUCACACCACGAGAGUUUGUAACACCCGAAGUCGGUGGGGUAACCCUUACGGGAGCCAGCCGCCGAAGGUGGGACAGAUGAUUGGGGUG